rnacentral:rRNA from 1 species
UGGGGAAUAUUGGACAAUGGGGGCAACCCUGAUCCAGCAAUGCCGCGUGUGUGAAGAAGGUCUUCGGAUUGUAAAGCACUUUCGACGGGGACGAUGAUGACGGUACCCGUAGAAGAAGCCCCGGCUAACUUCGUGCCAGCAGCCGCGGUAAUACGAAGGGGGCUAGCGUUGCUCGGAAUGACUGGGCGUAAAGGGCGUGUAGGCGGUUUACACAGUCAGAUGUGAAAUCCCCGGGCUUAACCUGGGAGCUGCAUUUGAUACGUGUAGACUAGAGUGUGAGAGAGGGUUGUGGAAUUCCCAGUGUAGAGGUGAAAUUCGUAGAUAUUGGGAAGAACACCGGCGGCGAAGGCGGCAACCUGGCUCAUGACUGACGCUGAGGCGCGAAAGCGUGGGGAGCAAACAGGAUUAGAUACCCUGGUAGUCCACGCUGUAAACGAUGUGUGCUAGAUGUUGGGUAACUUU